AAAACUUUGAAGAGUGAAGUGGGGAAAUGUUCCAUGUGAACAUCACUUGGACAUGGGUUAGUCGAUCCUAAGAUAUGGGGAAUCCUUGUAUCAAGGGUGUACUCUGCAUGAACAUCGAAAGAGAAUUGGGUUAAUAUUCUCGAACCGGGACAUGUUGGUGGAUGACAAUGUUAGGAAAUCUGGAUAUGUCAUCGGGGGCCUGGGAAGAGUUAUCUUUUCUUUUUUAUGACUUUCCCACCCUGAAAUUGGUUCAACUGGAGAUAGGGUCCAACAUAUGGAAGAGAACCACACGUCUUGCGGUGUUUGGUUCCCCCUCUACAGCUAGCAAUAUUGACAAGAGAAUAUCUACCUUGGGCUACUUGUUUUCUCUUGGCUCUAGACCAAUUUGUUAGUGUUCUAAGAAGAAACAAGUUGUUAUUCUCUUCUCCACUAAUGACAACUAUGCUAGUGAAGUUCAUGUCGGUAAGCAUCUUCCCUGGAUAUAGAUGAUGCUUGAUCAACUUGGUCUUCCUCCACAAACUCAUUCCACCUUUGUGACAAUCAAAGUACCAUUGAGCUUAUUCAUAAUCCAA
rnacentral:ncRNA from 1 species